GACUCGGUUCCCCCUUCUGGCCAGGUUGCACGAGGCAUACAAAAAGAUACCGGCAUUCCUAGAUGCUAUACCAGAAAAGCAGCCGGAUGCUCCUUCUCCAUAGUUAAAAAAUUGGGUUGAAGAGGGACCCUGUUUGAAAUCGUCGGUUCCAUUCUUCUGAAACUUCCUUUUUA